AAAGUCCAUUGCAAUGAAGGAGUAGCGAUCCACAUUGACCCCGAGUCAUGCGCGGGCAGCCGUGAGGCUGUGCGUGAAGCGUUGACAGGGGAGCAUGUAGGCCAGCCAUUGAACCGCGAGAUUGACGCUUCUCGGGUGCCGACGUUCGUCUUGUGUGCGGAAGGCAAUAUGAAUCGGUGCGACAGCGCGAGUGUCGAUUGAACCCGGCGUGGUCUGAGACCC
rfam:Rhizobium sp. YS-1r CONTIG.252, whole genome shotgun sequence.